UACAGAGGGCCCAAGCGUUGUUCGGAUUCACUGGGCGUAAAGGGUGCGUAGGCGGCCGGGUAAGUCUGCUGUGAAAUCCCGCAGCUCAACUGCGGAACUGCAUUGGAUACUAUCCGGCUAGAGGAAUGGAGGGGAGACUGGAAUUCUCGGUGUAGCGGUGAAAUGCGUAGAUAUCGAGAGGAACACCAGUGGCGAAGGCGAGUCCCUGGACAACACCUGACACUGAGGCACGAAAGCUAGGGGAGCAAACAGG
rnacentral:rRNA from 1 species